rnacentral:rRNA from 1 species
GACGCACGCUGGCGGCGUGCUUAACACAUGCAAGUCGAACGAAGUGGCGAACGGGUGAGUAACGCGUAAUCAACCUGCCCUUCAGGGGGGGACAACAGUUGGAAACGACUGCUAAAACCGCAAACGGAAGGGGGGGAUGGCGUCGGAUUAGCGAGUUGGGGGGGUAACGGCCCACCAAGGCGAUGAUCAGUAGCCGGUCUGAGAGGAUGCACGGCCACAUUGGGACUGGGACACGGCCCAGACUCCUACGGGAUGCCGCAGUGGGGAAUCUUCCGCAAUGGACGAAAGUCGGACGGAGCAACGCCGCGUGAGUGAUGACGGCCUUCGGGUUGUAAAGCUCUGUUAGUCGGGACGCGGUACCGGAAUAGAAAGCCACGGCUAACUACGUGCCAGCAGCCGCGGUAAUAC